rnacentral:tRNA from 2 species
AUGUCUGUAAUUUAAAGGUAAAAUAUCUAUCUUCGGAAUAGAUUAUAGGGGUUCAAGUCCCUUCAGACAUU